CGGCGGACGGGUGAGUAACACGCGGAUAACCUACCUAUAAGACUGGGAUAACUUCGGGAAACCGGAGCUAAUACCGGAUAAUAUAUUGAACCGCAUGGUUCAAUAGUGAAAGACGGUUUUGCUGUCACUUAUAGAUGGAUCCGCGCCGCAUUAGCUAGUUGGUAAGGUAACGGCUUACCAAGGCAACGAUGCGUAGCCGACCUGAGAGGGUGAUCGGCCACACUGGAACUGAGACACGGUCCAGACUCCUACGGGAGGCAGCAGUA
rnacentral:rRNA from 1 species